GAUGAACGCCAGCGGCGGGCUUAACACAUGCAAGUCGAGGGGUAUAGUUCUUCGGAACUAGAGACCGGCGCACGGGUGCGUAACGCGUAUGUAAUCUACCUUUUACAGGGGGAUACCCCAGAGAAAUUUGGAUUAAUAACCCAUAGUAUGUUGUGGUGUCAUCACUAUAACAUUAAAGUUCCAACGGUAAAAGAUGAGCAUGCGUCCCAUUAGCUAGAUGGUAAGGUAACGGCUUACCAUGGCUACGAUGGGUAGGGGUCCUGAGAGGGAGAUCCCCCACACUGGUACUGAGACACGGACCAGACUCCUACGGGAGGCAGCAGUGAGGAAUAUUGGACAAUGGGCGCAAGCCUGAUCCAGCCAUGCCGCGUGCAGGAUGACGGUCCUAUGGAUUGUAAACUGCUUUUGUACAGGAAGAAACACUCCCUCGUGAGGGAGCUUGACGGUACUGUAAGAAUAAGGAUCGGCUAACUCCGUGCCAGCCGCCGCGGUAA
rnacentral:rRNA from 1 species